rnacentral:rRNA from 1 species
UACGAAGGGGGCUAGCGUUGUUCGGAUUUACUGGGCGUAAAGCGCACGUAGGCGGAUCUUUAAGUCAGAGGUGAAAUCCCAAGGCUCAACCUUGGAACUGCCUUUGAUACUGGGGAUCUUGAGUCCGGGAGAGGUGAGUGGAACUGCGAGUGUAGAGGUGAAAUUCGUAGAUAUUCGCAAGAACACCAGUGGCGAAGGCGGCUCACUGGCCCGGUACUGACGCUGAGGUGCGAAAGCGUGGGGAGCAAACCGG